rnacentral:rRNA from 1 species
GUGGCGAACGGGUGAGUAAUACAUCGGAACGUGCCCGAGAGUGGGGGAUAACGAAGCGAAAGCUUUGCUAAUACCGCAUACGAUCUCAGGAUGAAAGCAGGGGACCGCAAGGCCUUGCGCUCACGGAGCGGCCGAUGGCAGAUUAGGUAGUUGGUGGGAUAAAAGCUUACCAAGCCGACGAUCUGUAGCUGGUCUGAGAGGACGACCAGCCACACUGGGACUGAGACACGGCCCAGACUCCUGCGGGAGGCAGCAGUGGGGAAUUUUGGACAAUGGGCGCAAGCCUGAUCCAGCCAUGCCGCGUGCAGGAUGAAGGCCUUCGGGUUGUAAACUGCUUUUGUACGGAACGAAAAGACUCUGGUUAAUACCUGGGGUCCAUGACGGUACCGUAAGAAUAAGCACCGGCUAACUACGUGCCAGCAGCCGCGGUAAUACGUAGGGUGCGAGCGUUAAUCGGAAUUACUGGGCGUAAAGCGUGCGCAGGCGGUUAUGUAAGACAGAUGUGAAAUCCCCGGGCUCAACCUGGGAACUGCAUUUGUGACUGCGUAGCUAGAGUACGGCAGAGGGGGAUGGAAUUCCGCGUGUAGCAGUGAAAUGCGUA